UUCUAUAAAUUAUGUUUAUAUUAACCUAAGUUUUCUUCGCGUUAUAGUAAAUUUGGAUUUUAUUAUCUUGUAGAUACCCCGAGAACUGAAAAGAGAAGAAAUGUUUUAAUGACUGGUCACAUAUCUAAUGAGGACUCUAAAAAUAUAAUCUGAGAAGAUCCUUCAAUGCGAAGACCUAGGGGGAGUAGAACUGGCAAUCAGAUUGCAAAAGCCAAACCACCAACUCAGGUGAAGUUCAAAAUAAAAUUUCAAAGCAUAAUGCAGUUGAAAUUUAACUUGUUAAGCCUUAAUAUACGUUGUCUUUUGAAGUUGAGUGACAACUUACUGGUUCUUUGCCAUGAUAGUGGCAUGAAAGGUUGUUGGUUCAAGUGUAUGUUUAUACAAGUAUCACCAAAAUAUUUGAAAGUUCAAUAUGAUAACAUCUAGAAUUGUGGUGGUUCAUAAAAGCUCGAGGUACCUUAACAAUUGUGGCUAUAACUUAAGUUUGUAAACCAUACAUAUGCUACUUGCAAAUAUUAACUUGCUCAUUCUACCUUAAGCAUGUUUCUUCAUCGCCUUUGUUUGUUCUAUAGGAAUGGACUCCUUACUUCUGAGUGGAGGCUCUGAUAAAUUGGGCAUCAGAUGCACAUGACACAUCAUAGUUCGCUCCCAUCUUUUGGAGGAUUAUUCUGACAAUUAUUUAGAAUAGGAGUAGUAAUUGAUGCUUGGUGAUCUAACGGAUGAUGGAAAGGUGGCGUUGUUGGAUUCGUUGUUUGUGGAAGUGCUCAUCUUCAGGUUUACUUCUCUAGUAAGAAACAAUAAUCCCAAAAAACUAAAAUAUAAUAGAAAAUAAGAAAUAAAAAGGGAAUUCCUACUUAUCAAUCAAUGCAUUGCAACUUAAGGAUAACUCAACUGCCAAUGGAUGUAAAAGUAUUCACUAUUCUUUCCCAUUUCUACAUGAAAUAAUAUGUCUAAGCUCAUUUUCAUAUAUUUUCUUUCCAAAUCAGCAAUGGGAAAUUUUUUAAACAGUAUGAAUAGCUUCUGACUAGUUUGUUGUCCAGAAUUUUUAGUGUUCGAUGUUUUUUAUGGCAUAAUGCCUCAACGUACUUUUUUCUCAAUAAUAAGGGAGAACAUAUUAUUGGAGAUUUAAUGGAAGAAUGUGAGGGCAUUAAGAUAUUGGUGUAGAUGAAAAAAAGGUUGAAGUUUAGGGAAAGAAAGACAUAAAGUCAUUCAUCAGCUCGAGUUUAACUUAGGUGUAAGUGCAGUAUCAAAGAAUUGGGGAACUACAAAAAUCAAGUGAUUCCCAAUGAUGUGGCAUUAAUGGAACUAGGUCCCUUUAUAGUUGUCUAUUUGAACUUGCUUAAGAUCUGAAGACCUAGUAACAUUAAUGUUACAAGAUUGUGAGAUAUGUGAUUUUCCCAGUUCUCUCCUUCUUUGAUAUUGCACUUGGAUUCAUGAGUUAAACUGGAGUUUAUGAAGGACUUAUAUUGCACUUGGAUUCAUGAGUUAAACUGGAGUUUAUGAAGGACUUAUAUUGCACUUGGAUUCAUGAGUUAAACUGGAGUUUAUGAAGGACUUUAGGUCUUUCUUUCCCUUAACUCCAACCCAUUUUUCAUCUAUACCGAUAUCUUGAAAUCUUCCGGUUUUUCCUUUGUAAAUCCAAUAAUAUCUACUAACCUACUAUUGAAAGAGAAAAAUACCUUGGGGCAUCAGGGUCAUGACCAACAUCGAAUAUUCAAAAAAUUGGACAAUAAAUUAGGCAGAAGCUAGGACUACAAUUUAAAACUCUUUCCAUUGUUGAGUUAGAAAGGCCAUUUAUGCCAAUGUUGAGAUUAGAUAUAUAAUUCAUGUAAGAAUUAAAAAUAAUUAAGUACACCUAUUUUACAUACAUUAAUUGUUGAGCUACUCUUACGCAAAGUUUCUAUGCAUCAAUUGAUACGCAACAAUUCUCCUUUUAUCCCCUAUUUUCUAUUACUAUUUUACAUUUUAGUUUUCUUAGGACUGUUAUUUCAUACCAAGGUAGUAAACCUGAAGUUGACCGCUCCCAUAGAUAUCAAAUUCAGCAAAAAUACAUUCCCACCACCCAUCAGACCGCCAAGCAUCAACUGCAGCUCAUACUUCAAAAGAAUAAUCAAAAUAAUCCUCCAGAAUUUAGGGCCGAACUAUGAGGUGUCAAUGCAUCUCAUGGCCAACCUAUCAAAGCCUACAACUCUAUAGAAAGGAACCCAUUCCUAUUAACCAAGCAAAGGUAAUGAGGAAACAGGCUGAAGGGAGAGUGGUCAAGUCAAUAUAUAUAAGUAGAUCGUAAGUUAUAGCAUAUGAACUUAAGUUAUAGUUGCAGUGGUUAAGGUACCUCGAUCUUUCCAUGACCAUCACAAUCCAUUAUGUCAUAAUAUUGAACUUUCAGACAUUAAUUUUGUGAGACUAGUAAGACCUUACACCUGAACCAACAACCUUUCAUGCCACUAUCAUGGAAAAAAUAAGCUCUAAGUUGUGCCAAGUUCAAAAUACAACUUAUAUUAAGUCUCAACAAGAUGAAUUCCAACCAGUCGUAUGCUUGGAAAAAUUAUUUUUAACUCCAGGUAAGUUUGUGGUUUGGCUUUGCUAUUUGCUUACUAGGAAUUGAUUCUCCAAUACCAUAGUGUCCACACUCACCAACACUUCUUACAAUUAUAGACUAACAUAUCACCCCUCGUCCAAAAUUCCAUGGAAAACAACUCUGACCAAUCAGUGGGUAAGUUUGUUGGGUAUCCAACAGAGCAACUCCUUGAGCAGGUUGAAUUGCAGUUGGAGAUAUUUGGGACCUACCAGCGGAAGGAAAUGGAGCAAGUUAAUUAUUUCAAUAACCAACUACUUCCUUUUUUCCGCAUCAAGAAGAUCAAGAAAGUAGACAAGGAUGCCCGUGUAAUCUAUCUGGAAAAAAAUAUUGAGCUUGUAGUUGGGGAAUAAAGCUGAUAAAAAUCGAGGUGAGAAACUGUCACCCAACACCAUCGACCUCAAGCAUCAUAUUGAUUCUCCAUCAGUUAAUGCUUCUUUAUCUCGAAAGUAGCAUCUCUAUUUCGGAGAAGUAGUAGUAAGGUAUGUUUACAUUGUACCUUUUUUAGACUCCACUUUGUGAGAUUUCACUAAGUAUGUUGUUGUUAGUCAGUUCAUCACUUUUCUGUAAUACUUCCGGUUUUUUUUAUGUAUCUGCAUAUGGGAUGCAUCAUUUUACACUCUCCAUUUGAUGUAGUUCAUUUCCUUUGCUACCACAACACCAUACUCUUCUGCCAAGGAAAUAAGGUAGUAAAUUACAUAGGACAACAUCUGAAUGUCUCUGAAUUAAGUAGUAUAUGAAGAUAGCAACCGAUGGAACGACGCAACCUAAUAACAAACACGGUUGGUCAACAAUAAAGUUUCAGGUUAGGUAGUAUACACGGAAAAUCUUACUUUAUUAUUUUCCCAUCCCGUUAAAUUGUAAUCUUUAUCCAUUGUCCCUCAACUUUUUGAUUAAUUAGA